UCUUUGGUAAUACGUAUUUCUCUC
rnacentral:siRNA from 1 species